UAUUACGCCAUCUCUCUUCCUUUCGUGCACCCUGUCCCUUUUCUCAUUUGUACUUUCUUCCUCGAGUGCCCCUGUUCUCUCUUUCCUUUUCUCCCCUCGCUCUUUUGUAUCUUGCCUGCUCUUCCUCUCUCCCUCAGCUGCAGUGUUGACCCUCAUAUUCCCUAAUUUUUUACCAAACGCUUUAUCGCUUUUCUCAUUUUGCUCUUUCCCUUAGCCCUGCCUCUCCCUCCUCCUUUCUCCCUUUCUCUUAACUGCCUUUCCUCUGCUUCUUUCUUCGUCUUGCCCACAUGAUUGCUUCUUCUCUCCCAGUCUGCUGCCCAGUGUUUCAGACCUGGUACUGCAACUCAAGAUCAUCGAUAAUUCACCUUUAGACCAGACUGGUUAUAGCCCUGAGUUCCGUUAUGAUGUUUAAUGGUUAAGUCCAAACCAACCCUGCCUGCAAGAUCAGUCUAUGCUAGGGCAGACUGUGGGACACUUGACUUGGUUCCAUGGUCCUGUGUGAGACAGAGAGAAUUCAUCCACGGUUACUUCUCCCCUUGCAAUUCCAACACUCCAGCCCAGAUGGAAGAAACAUGGAAAUGAAGAAAGUGAUCUGCACUCAUCUUGGACACUAACAUGGACCUCACACUUGGACCAGGCCCAUCAGUUCCACUUACUUAUUCUGAGGUCGACUAUUAGCUGCAAUCUCUGGAAGAUCAACAGCCCUCUGACAUUGGAGGCAGCUUAAUGGAGGUUCUUGAGAUUGAUUCUAGAGUAGAAGACACAAAUACUUGCGAAGAACAUCUAACAAUCCAGAGGCCACAAGGACGAAGGAACAUAUAUCCUUUACAAUGCCCAGAGAAAAGAAAUAUAAGGAACAUUAAUGAGCGAAAAGGCUGAUAAAUACUGUUGAUUGGAUGGUCUGCACCCUCGGGUCCUAAAGGAAGUGGCUGCAGCAAUAUUGGAUGCAUUGAAAAUAAGAACGAGGAGCAGGAGUCUACGAUCAUAACUGAUUCACAAAGCUUUGAGAGAAAUAAUUUCUCUACAUCUCUGUUUUAAAUUUGUCAUCUUUUAGUUGAAAACUAUGACCUCUCAUUCUAGAUUGCCCUCACAAGUGGAAGCAUCCUCUCUACAUCUACUUUAUCAGUUGCCUUUGUCACCUUUUAGCAUCAUUUACAAGGAUGUUGCCAGGGUUGGAGAGUUAUUGGGAAGAGGCUGAAUGGGUUGGGGCUAUUUUGCCUGGAGCAUCAGAGGCUGAGAGCUGUCUUUAUAGAGGUUUAUAAGAUCAUGAGGAGCAUGAAAUGGGUGAAUAGUCAAGGUCUUUUCCCAGACUAGGUGAAUCCAAAGCUACAGGGCAUAGACUUAAGGUGAGAGGGGAAAGAUAUAAAAGGGACUUAAGGCCACAACCUUUUCAUAGAGAGGGUGGUGCGUGUAUGGAACGAGCUGCCAGAGGAAGUGGUGGAGGCUGGUACAACAUUUAAAAGGCAUCUGGAUGGGUACAGAACAGGCAAGGCUUAGAGAGAUAUGGACCAAAUGCUGGCAAUGGAACCAGAAUAAUUUAGGAUAUUAGGUCAGCAUGGCUGAUUUGGACCAAAGGGCCUCAUUCCAGGCUGUACAUCUCUAUGAUUCUAUGACUUAUAUACCUUAAUUAGGCUUCUUUUUCUUCUAAAUUCUGGAGAGUGCUUGACUUAGUGAGUCUAAAGUGCUCAAUUUCUUUUCACAAGACAUAUCCCUCAUGUCUGGAAUCGAUCUACUGAACCUCCUCUGAACUGCCUCUAAUAGAAGUAUAUCCCUUCUCAAGUAAGUGGACCAAACUUCUACACAAUACUCCAGGUGUGGAAUCACUAGCUUUGAUUGUAAGUUUUCAAAAUCCCCUGGAUCCCACAAAGGAAGUAGACAAUUUAUAAUGUAACACCAUUAUUUAGGGAAAGGAGGGAAAGCAAGAAAUUUCAGAAGACUUACUUUAACAUUCAACGUUGCAAAAAAUCUAUAAUUCAUUAUUAAGGAGGAAGGAGCAGAAUAUUUAGAAAAUCAUGAUAUUAUCAGGCAGCGUUAACUUGGGUUUGUGAAAGGGAUCCUGCAUUUGACAAAUUUAUUAGAUUUCUUUGAGGAUAUAACACAAACAGUGAAUAAAGGGGAACCAGUAGAUGUAGGGUAUUUAGAUUUUGAAAAGACAUUCAACAAGGCAUCUUGUGAAAGCCAACUGCACAAGAUAAGAGUUCAUGUUGUUGGAGGCGAUAGAGGUUUGACUAAUGAGCAGGCAACAGAGUUGGGAUAAAGGGGUCAUUUUCAAUUUGUGGCAUACUGUAUCCAGUAGAGUCCCUAAGUGAUCAGUGCUAACAUCUGAACUACAAAUGAUUUAUAUUCAUGAUCUGAAUGAAGGACCAACUGGAUUGAAGGCAAAGUUCUGAUGGUACAAAGUUAGACAGGAAGGAAAGAUGUGAGGACGACACAAACAUCUGCAAAGAGAUAUCGACAGGUUGUGUGAAUGGGUAUGAAUUUGGCACAGGGAAUAUAUUGCGAGAAAAGUGUGAGAUUGCGCACUUUGGCGAGAAAUAUGGAAAAGCAGUAAAUUAUUUAAUUUCAGUGAGACCACAGGAUGUUGCACUGUAGACGAAUUUGGAUGUUCUAAGAGUCACUGAAGUGGACAUGCAGAGGCAUGGAGUAAUUAGGAAGGCGAGUGAAAUGUUAACCUUUAUUACAAAGGAGAUGGUGUAUAAAGAAAGGGAAGUCUUGCUGCAACUACACAGGAUAUUUUUGUGUCUGCCUCUAGAAUCCUGUUUUGGUCUCCAGAUCUAAGAAAGGGUAGACUUGUAUUAUGAGCUGUUCAGAGAAGGAACGAAGGGAUUGGUUUAAGUAGAAAUGUUGAGAAGGUAGAGGCCUAUUCUCACCAGAAUUUAGAGCAAGGAGUUUCUUUUCACAGAGGAUUUUAAUUCUUUAAAAUUCUUUAAAGCAGAAAGCAAUGGAAGCUGGGUCAUUGACACAUUGAAGGCUGUGUUAGGCAGAGCUACAAGGGUUAUGGGCAGGGGAUGGGAUAGUGGCCAGUCAGGAAAGUGGGGCUGAGGUCAAGGUCAGAUCAGCCAUGACCUUAGUGAAUAGAGAAGUUUUCGUCAAUCACUCACUAACGAGCACGAUUGUCCAUCUCGGAAAUUCCACGUCACUUGACAUGGGUUCUGCACAUCCUUUCAUGACUGAUGAGCCCAAUCCUAGAGUUGGGUCUCUGACCACAUAUUUGUGUUUCCAAGAGGUGGGAUUGGACCUUGGACUCAAGAUCCCCGGAUUUCCUUUCUCUGGUUCCAUUCCAUAUUUCCUUUGCCAACGAGAAUCGCAUUCUUCCACACUGGAGGUUCCUCCAAAUCUGUUUCUUCUGAACAAGGGUCUCUUGCAUAUUGUCAUUUAUGCUGCAUUUCUUGAGAGCUGCCUUCAGGGAACCGUUGAACCUCAUUGGUGGAGUAUGCUUUGAAGACCUGAAUGGCCUUAUAAUCUUAGGUCAAAGCUGUGAGCAAUUUGGACAGUAAAGUCAAAAAGAUGUUUAAUGUGAUUUAUUAUUGUCACAUAUACUUAGGUAGAGUAAAAAGUUUUAUUUUGUGUGCAGUACAGGCAAGUCAUACCAGACAAAGUACAUUAGGAAAAUAUAACAGAGCGAGGAAUACAAUGUGAGGAUAGCGAGAACUGCAGUUGCUGGAGUCAGAGACAACACAGUGCGGAGCUGGAUGAACACAGCGGGCCAGGCAGCAUCCGAGGAGCAGGAAAGCUGACGUUUCAGGUCAGGACCUUUCUUCAGAAACGGGGAGGGGGAAGGAAGCUUGGAAAUAAAUAGAGAGGAGGGGUAGGACUGGUGAAGGUAGGUGGGACAGUGAUAGGUGACUAGGGAGUGGUGGGGAUUGCUCAGUGAGGUGAGAGAAGUGGAUAGGUGGGAGAGAAGAUGGAUAGGUUGCAUCAGGUCAAGGAGGUAGGGAUGAGAGGGAGGGUUGGUCAUGGGAUGAGGAAGAUUUUAAAACUGGUGAAUUCCACGUUUAGGCCAUGUUUAGGAAUAUGAUGCCAUGGCUGCAGAGAAGGUGCACAAAGAGCAAGAUCAACAUUAAAUUUGAAGCUAGAGAGGUCUGAUAAAUCUAAUAACAGCAGAUUCUCAAUAUCAAGUGGAGUGAUUCUGAAGAUUAACAUCUUCAGUGCUGGGCCCUCAGGAAAAGACUGAGUUGGAUCAUCUGUUCAGCACUUCAAACUGAAAUUAGUUCAAGGCUUCACCUUUACCUUUUGCACUUACCUGGAAGGGCACGGCUCCAAUAACACUAAAAAAACUUGACACCAUCCAGGAUAAAGUAGCCCACUUGAUUGACACCACAUCCAAAAGCAUCUACUCCCUCCACCACUGAUAGUCAGUAGCAGCAGUGUGUACUAUCUACAAGAUGCACUGCAGAAAUUCACCAAAGAUCCUCAGACAGCACCUUCCAAACCCACUUCCAUCUAGAAGGAUAAGGGCAGCAGAUACACGGGAACACCACGACCUGCAAGAUCCCCUGCAAGACACUCACCAUCCUGACUUGAACAUAUAUUGUUGUUCCUACUCUGUCGCUGGGUCAAAAUUCUGGAAUCCCCUCCCUAAAGGCAUUGCAGGUCAACCUACAGCAGGUGGGCUGCAGCGGUUCAAGAAGGCAGCUCACCACCACCUCCUCAAGGGCAAAUAGGGAUGGGCAAGAAAUGCUGGCCUGGGCAGUGAUUCCCACAUUCCACAGAUGAAGAAGAUCAAACUCACUUACUGGGGUUCAUUAUCAAACAGGAUGAUGCCAAUCAGGGCGCCUCUCCCUCUUGUUCACUGAUUAAUUUUUGACAAUCACUCACAAUUGAAUAUAACAGCUUGUGGAGCUUUGAGCUGAUUUGCCGUCUGUAGAUUUCCUCUUGUCUUGUGCUGUUUUGUCAUAAGUUGUAAAUUCACCAGGUUAAUAUGUGAUCUUGGCUAUACCUGAUGUUGCUGUAGGCAUGCCCUCCUGCGCUCUUUAUUGCACUAGCAAUCAUAGUAGUUGUAAAGCGAGGGAAGAUGCUGGGCCAUGGGUGUGAUGGCUGAAUAAAAUUCUGUUGCUAAUGAUGCCCCAUAGUACCUCAGAUGUUAAAUUUCUCAAUCUGUUCUCAAUCUAUCAUCUUUG